rnacentral:lncRNA from 1 species
GGAGGAGCUCCAGAGAGGGUGGCGGCCCCUCUACCUCUUGCUGCCUCGCUCUCUGGGUUUGCCGCGGAGGAAAGCACGUGCUUCCCCUGCAGUCUGCCAGCAUGACCUUUUUGCAGGUAAAUGCACUGGAGAGGAACAAUGAGGUCAAAUAAGUGCUAGAAGCAAAAGUGUCUCAGUUGUGAUUCUGCCACUGCUUGGAUUUUCC